CGGUACCCAAGUCCCCAUGCCACCGGCUUUAGUUUCCCCUCCACUGGUUACCUCCCUGCCCUGCCCUUCCCCGCCCCAUCCACAGUUGCCUCAGCUUCCUCCUCCUCCUGAAUAUACCCAAGCCCGGCUCCCUACAUCAGAGGCCCGUGCAUACACUUCGGCUUCCGCUGAAGGGUUUGACACAGAUGAUUUCCAAGAGAGUCAGUCACUGCCCCGCCACAUUAAUCGUCCAUCCCGUCCUCCCAUGCAAUCUAGUAACCCUCCCUCCACUUCCCGCCGGUACCAGGGACCAGAUCAGGCCCAUUUAGAUUUAUUACAAUAGGUAACUGGCAAGCCUGUGUCAGCAACCCCUGCCAUGGCAGUGUCUGCGGGGGAUGGGGGAGGGCCCUUGGCUACUGUAGUUCUCCCCGUGGAGGGCCAUCCAACUACCUUUCUAGUCGACACAGGUGCAGCCCGUAGUGUUCUCAGGGAACAAGACCUGCCAGAUCCUUCCUUCUUAUCUGAUACCGAUGUCUCCUGUGUUGGAGUGGAUGGUACACCCCACAGUAACCCCCUUACUAAACUUCUGCAUGUAGGUUCACACAUUCUCUCCCGGUUUGUUGUUUCCUCUACUUGCCCCAUUAACCUCCUAGGUGCUGAUGUUCUCUCUCGGCUCCAGGCAUUACCUUUACUGCUGAUGGUCAGGUCGAGUUAACAACUCCCUUAUCACAAAAAGACACCUCUGUCCUCUGUUCCCUCCCCAUCUUGUUGAACCUAGCUGACAAUACAGGGAAUAUACGGGUCUCACAAACCCCCAGUGCUCUGGAUCGUAUCCCCCAAGAACUUUGGUCCACCGGCCCGGAUGAUAUCGGACGUUUGCAUGUGCCCCCAGUAUUGGUCAAGCUCCUGCCUGGAGCACUGCCUCCCCGUAGGCCACAGCAUCCUCUGAAGCCAGCACAAGCUGAAGCUAUCACCAAACAAGUUGAAAGCCUA